AUUGAACGCUGGCGGACUGCUUUACACAUGCAAGUCGAACGGCAGCACGGACUUCGGUCUGGUGGCGAGUGGCGAACGGGUGCGUAAUGUAUCGGAACGUGCUCAGUCGUGGGGGAUAACGUAGUGAAAAUUACGCUAAUACCGCAUACGAUCUAGGCAUGAAAGCGGGGCGUCGCAAGACCUCGCGCGAUCGGAGCGGCCGAUAUCAGAUUAGGUAGUUGGUGGGGUAAAGGCCCACCAAGCCAACGAUCUGUAGCUGGUAUGAGAGGACGACCAGCCACACUGGAACUGAGACACGGUCCAGACUCCUACGGGAGGCAGCAGUGGGGAAUUUUGGACAAUGGGCGAAAGCCUGAUCCAGCCAUUCCGCGUGCAGGAUGAAGGCCCUCGGGUUGUAAACUGCUUUUGUGCAGAACGAAAAGGUUUCUACUAAUACUAGGAGCUCAUGACGGUACUGUAAGAAUAAGCACCGGCUAACUACGUGCCAGCCGCCGCGGUAA
rnacentral:rRNA from 1 species